rnacentral:lncRNA from 1 species
CAGAGCUUGUAAGGCAUGCUCCAGGUCCUAGGUUUCACCCCAGUAUCACAAAUAAAUUGAAAAUAAAACCAUGAUCAUAUGAGUCUAGAAGAGCUGCCCCAGUAUAAACCCAAAUGCCACUCUUUCUCUUCCACAGCUCCAUCAAGGAUGCUUGAUCCUUACCGUUCUCAGUUCAACGUAUUCAUCUGGAAGCAUGAUGGUGAUGCUCAACUGAUUGCCAAGAUAAGGGAGCAAUGCAAGAGUGGUAGAUAUAUCUUCCACAUGGAUGAGAAAGGCUGUUUUCCCUCUGUAUGGUUUUGUGGCAAUGAGCAGGAGGGAAUGUCCUCCUCAAAGACGUGGAAGACACAAGACAACUUCAGGAAAGAAACUGUAAAAGGAAAGGAGUGUGCACUACUGCAGGGAAU